rnacentral:rRNA from 1 species
UAGAGCACUGUUUCGGCAAGGGGGUCAUCCCGACUUACCAACCCGAUGCAAACUGCGAAUACCGGAGAAUGUUAUCACGGGAGACACACGGCGGGUGCUAACGUCCGUCGUGAAGAGGGAAACAACCCAGACCGCCAGCUAAGGUCCCAAAGUCAUGGUUAAGUGGGAAACGAUGUGGGAAGGCCCAGACAGCCAGGAUGUUGGCUUAGAAGCAGCCAUCAUUUAAAGAAAGCGUAAUAGCUCACUGGUCGAGUCGGCCUGCGCGGAAGAUGUAACGGGGCUAAACCAUGCACCGAAGCUGCGGCAGCGACGCUUAUGCGUUGUUGGGUAGGGGAGCGUUCUGUAAGCCUGUGAAGGUGUACUGUGAGGUAUGCUGGAGGUAUCAGAAGUGCGAAUGCUGACAUAAGUAACGAUAAAGCGGGUGAAAAGCCCGCUCGCCGGAAGACCAAGGGUUCCUGUCCAACGUUAAUCGGGGCAGGGUGAGUCGACCCCUAAGGCGAGGCCGAAAGGCGUAGUCGAUGGGAAACAGGUUAAUAUUCCUGUACUUGGUGUUACUGCGAAGGGGGGACGGAGAAGGCUAUGUUGGCCGGGCGACGGUUGUCCCGGUUUAAGCGUGUAGGCUGGUUUUCCAGGCAAAUCCGGAAAAUCAAGGCCGAGGCGUGAUGACGAGGCACUACGGUGCUGAAGCAACAAAUGCCCUGCUUCCAGGAAAAGCCUCUAAGCAUCAGGUAACAUCAAAUCGUACCCCAAACCGACACAGGUGGUCAGGUAGAGAAUACCAAGGCGCUUGAGAGAACUCGGGUGAAGGAACUAGGCAAAAUGGUGCCGUAACUUCGGGAGAAGGCACGCUGAUACGUAGGUGAAGCGACUUGCUCGUGGAGCUGAAAUCAGUCGAAGAUACCAGCUGGCUGCAACUGUUUAUUAAAAACACAGCACUGUGCAAACACGAAAGUGGACGUAUACGGUGUGACGCCUGCCCGGUGCCGGAAGGUUAAUUGAUGGGGUUAGCGCAAGCGAAGCUCUUGAUCGAAGCCCCGGUAAACGGCGGCCGUAACUAUAACGGUCCUAAGGUAGCGAAAUUCCUUGUCGGGUAAGUUCCGACCUGCACGAAUGGCGUAAUGAUGGCCAGGCUGUCUCCACCCGAGACUCAGUGAAAUUGAACUCGCUGUGAAGAUGCAGUGUACCCGCGGCAAGACGGAAAGACCCCGUGAACCUUUACUAUAGCUUGACACUGAACAUUGAGCCUUGAUGUGUAGGAUAGGUGGGAGGCUUUGAAGUGUGGACGCCAGUCUGCAUGGAGCCGACCUUGAAAUACCACCCUUUAAUGUUUGAUGUUCUAACGUGGACCCGUGAUCCGGGUUGCGGACAGUGUCUGGUGGGUAGUUUGACUGGGGCGGUCUCCUCCUAAAGAGUAACGGAGGAGCACGAAGGUUGGCUAAUCCUGGUCGGACAUCAGGAGGUUAGUGCAAUGGCAUAAGCCAGCUUGACUGCGAGCGUGACGGCGCGAGCAGGUGCGAAAGCAGGUCAUAGUGAUCCGGUGGUUCUGAAUGGAAGGGCCAUCGCUCAACGGAUAAAAGGUACUCCGGGGAUAACAGGCUGAUACCGCCCAAGAGUUCAUAUCGACGGCGGUGUUUGGCACCUCGAUGUCGGCUCAUCACAUCCUGGGGCUGAAGUAGGUCCCAAGGGUAUGGCUGUUCGCCAUUUAAAGUGGUACGCGAGCUGGGUUUAGAACGUCGUGAGACAGUUCGGUCCCUAUCUGCCGUGGGCGCUGGAGAACUGAGGGGGGCUGCUCCUAGUACGAGAGGACCGGAGUGGACGCAUCACUGGUGUUCGGGUUGUCAUGCCAAUGGCACUGCCCGGUAGCUAAAUGCGGAAGAGAUAAGUGCUGAAAGCAUCUAAGCACGAAACUUGCCCCGAGAUGAGUUCUCCCUGACCCUUUAAGGGUCCUGAAGGAACGUUGAAGACGACGACGUUGAUAGGCCGGGUGUGUAAGCGCAGCGAUGCGUUGAGCUAACCGGUACUAAUGAACCGUGAGG